rnacentral:rRNA from 1 species
UACCAAAAACACAGGUUUGUGCUAAAUCGAAAGAUGACGUAUACGAGCUGACGCCUGCCCGGUGCUGGAAGGUUAAAAGGAGAUGUGCAAGCAUUGAAUUGAAGCCCCAGUGAACGGCGGCCGUAACUAUAACGGUCCUAAGGUAGCGAAAUUCCUUGUCAGGUAAGUUCUGACCCGCAUGAAAGGCGUAAUGAUCUGGGCACUGUCUCAACAGCCCGCCCGGCGAAAUUGUAGUACCGGUGAAGAUGCCGGUUACCCGCGACAAGACGGAAAGACCCCAUGGAGCUUUACUGUAGCCUGAUAUUGGGUUUCGGUGUUGCAUGCACAGGAUAGAUGGGACGCUGGGAAAGAAGCGCUUUGGCGUUUCUGGAGCGGACGUUGGGAUACCAUCCUUGCGACAUUGGAAUUCUAACCUGCGCCUCUGAAUCGAGGCGGGGGACAUUGUCAGGUGGGCAGUUUGACUGGGGCGGUCGCCUCCUAAAAAGUAGCGGAGGCGUUCAAAGGUUCGUUCGAUCUGGACGGAAACCAGAUGAUUGAGUGCAAACGCAUAAACGAGCCUGACUGCGAGACUGACGGGUCGAGCAGAGACGAAAGUCGGAGUUAGUGAUCCGGUGGUAUGUGAGUGGAAAUGCCAUCGCUCAACGGAUAAAAGUUACCCUGGGGAUAACAGGCUGAUCUCCCCCAAGAGUCCACAUCGACGGGGAGGUUUGGCACCUCGAUGUCGGCUCAUCGCAUCCUGGGGCUGAAUUCGGUCCCAAGGGUUUGGCUGUUCGCCAAUUAAAGCGGUACGCGAGCUGGGUUCAGAACGUCGUGAGACAGUUCGGUCCCUAUCUGUCGUGGGCGCAGGAUAUUUGCAAGGCGCUGUCCCUAGUACGAGAGGACCGGGAUGGACGAACCUCUGGUGCACCAGUUGUCACGCCAGUGGCACAGCUGGGCAGCUAUGUUCGGAUCGGAUAAACGCUGAAAGCAUCUAAGCGUGAAGCCGGCCUUAAGAUAAGAUAUCCCA